GACUCCAGCCCGCUGCUAAGGGAUUCAUCCGGGGCGAGGCCCGGGGUCCUGUGACUGGGAGCUGGUUCUGAAAGGCCAGGGUCAGAAAAAUGUUCCUGUACACGCACCCGGAGGCUUUUGCAGGAGGCGGCUGUUGGAGAACCGGGAAAACAAGCCAAGAAACAAGAGAGAGGAAAAAGACCACGCCUCGCUUGGCAGAUUCCUAAUGGCCCAGGAGACCUGAGGCUUUACAGUGGGAGGCCGGUGGGGGCUGGCUUGGGUGGGAGGGAAGGGCAGGCCGAAGGACAGCCACUUGCUGGCCAGUGACCUUGGGUGGGAUGCUGCCUGCUUCCCUCUGAUGAGAAUGGGGAGACGGGGCGGGGGGGGGGGGGGGCGGGGGGGGGGGGGGUUGCAGGGCUGGCCUUCUGAGGUCACAGGAAGGCCCCUUCCAGCCUGAAACGCGAUCUCGGGAUGUGGGGCCUGCCAACCUGCAGCGACCCUGGGCCAGCAGAGAUGAAAGGCUGCCUGUCCCCAGCUUCCGGACCCCCGAGGCCCCUGUGCCUCCGACUUGAAGGGCAGCAAAGCUGCUGCAGCUGGCUGAAGCCAGUGGCUGGGUGCCCCUCCCCCCCUUCCCUGAACCUGAUGUCAUCCAACCCUCCCUUCCCUGUUUUUCGGAGGACGCUCCAGCCCAGAGAGGUCUGGUGACCUGCCCGAGGUCACACAGCAAGUUGGAGGCUGAGCCAGGACUCACCACAAAGUCUUUGGACUCUAAAUCCAGACCUCAUUCCCUUUCCCAGAAACUUGGCUGCCUGGGGGCUUACCCUGGGGAGUUGGAGAGACCCAGGGUUAAGGAGGACAGUUGGGAGCUGUGUCUGUUUGAAGUCACGACUUAAUGUUGAUUAAAGUGCUUUUUUUUUUUUUUUUUUUUUUGCUUUUUUAAAAAAAAAAACAAAAAGAACGUUCCCAGCCCCUGCCAUGAGCCUGGACUUGCUCUGCUGGCAGGGGAAGGAAUGCAGCUCUGGCCGCCACAGCUGCUGGUGGCCAGCUGCGGCCUCAGCUCCUGCUGCUCCCACCCCAGCAGGCAAGGGGACAAAGGCCUCCUCUCAGCCUGUCCCCUCCAGCCCCCUGGAUCAGUGGGGGCAGAGCAACAACCACGAGGCUCUGUUACUGACCAGCUAAGUCACUGUUUCUCUCUGGGCCUUAGCGCCCUUUCAGGAAAAUGGGGGCAGAGUAUCUGCCUGAUCUCUUUUUCAGCACUGUUUGGAGGUUCCAAAGAGGUAAAAUUACAGAAAUACAGGAGUUCCCCUUGCGGCUCAGCGGUAACAAACCAUGAGGAGGCAGGUUCAAUCCCUGGCCCUGCUCAGUGGGUUAAGGAUCUGGUGUUGCUGUGGCCGUGGUGUAGGCCAGAAGUUGUAGCUCUGAUUUGAGCCCUAGCCUGGGAACUUCCAUAUGCCUUGGGUGCAGCCCUAAAAAAACAAAAAAAUUACAGAAAUACAAACCUUUCAGCACCUCCUUCUGCCUGAGGGUCGACCUACUCAGAGACCCCUCCACCUUAAAUGGCCCUCUCCCCCCUCCUGCUUCACCUGGCCAGCCUCAGCUCACUCAGCUCAGCUCAGCAGGACCAUCCCUUGCUCUGGGGAGCCCCCCCUCACUUUCAACUUCCAGACUGUGCUGCUCCUUCAAAGUGUUUAUCACUGUUGUAAUUAAAUAAUUAAUUGUGUAAUUGGUUCUGUCUCCCCACUAGAAUGUGAACUCUGCAAUAAUAAUAGCUGACCUAAAAUGCUUACCCAGUGCCAGAGACUUUCCAUAGAUAAACCCGUUGAAUCUCUGUGGCAGGUACUGUUCAUUUUCCCAUUUUACAGAUGAGGAAACUGAGACAGCGAGAGAUUCGGUAACUCACCUGAAGUCAAGCCAAGUUGGAGGCUGAGCCAGGACUCAGCAUAAAGAAGUCGCUGAACCAGGAUUCAGAUCCAGACCCCAAGCUGGAAUCAUUACCUCACUGAUAAGACAGGUUCUGCUUGUUCCUUGUCCAUCCCAGCUUCCAGAACAUCUGGCCUAUAAUAAGUGCUCGUAAAUAUUGGGUGAAUGAGGGCACAAACAGGUGAUGGAUACACUGAGUAUCUGCAGAAGACCAAAGCACCAUCCCGGAGUGCGUUUCGCAGGUGCCAUGUGUGGAGCUGAGCCAUGGUGAGGGGAGGGGGAGCGCAAUACAGUGUUAAAGAUGGAUUCUUGGGCUUCUUUCUGGAACAUACAAGCCAAAGCCUGGGACAUCAUCUUUGAUUCCUCCCUCCACUUCAUCUGCCAGAGCCAUUCAGUCCCCAGGCUCUGCUUCACGUCUCCCAGCGCUCCCUCCUUUCUCCAUCCUUCAACCCCCAUCUUUUUCUUGGAUUUUCGUGCAGGUUUCUCUGUCUCUAAUUUCUCCUCCUUUAAAGUGAGCCUCUAAAAACAGAAAGCUAAUUGUGGGUGCCAUCCCUCUUUACCCCUUCCCUCACUAAUGAACCUUCCAUGGCUCCCCAUUGCUCUUUGGAUAAAGCCCAAACUCUUCACCAAGUUUUCUACUACUGGACCCCUGCCUCCACCCCUCCAAUCUCACCUCCUACUUCUCUCUUCCACAUGUCCUUUGCCUAAGCCACUCCAUGAGUAGAUGUUAAGAUCAUGCAAGCAGACAGUCCCGGGUUCAAGUCUGAAUUUUGCCACUUACCAGAUGUGGAAGUUUGUAGAUAAAUCAAUUUCCUUCUCUAAGCCUCAGUUACCACAUCUGGGAAAAUGGGCAUCAUUGUCAUACUUCUUCUUAGAAUCAUUGUAGGGAUUAAAUGAAUCCAUACGGUGCUGAGCACAGCACCUGACGCUCCCAAGUUCCUGUAAUUCUUAUACUGUCCUUUGCUACAAAGAGCAUUUCUUACUGUCAGUCUUACUACUCCUUAUGACCCAGCUCAUAUGUCACCUCUUGGAGGAAAUUUUUCUUGAUGUUCACACUCUGUUCCCCAAGUGAAAUCAGUCUCACUUUCCAGACUCGCUUGCACUUUGCACCUCUAUACAGCACUUGUAAUGGUGUCCU
rnacentral:lncRNA from 1 species